AAGCAAAGUUGGGUGGAAGAAAGCUGCCGAUUUGAAAAAACACAGUAUAGAGAAAACAUUGAAGCACAGGCAGCAACUUGUGCCGAACAAAACAGUUCUUAGUCCAAAGUGCAAUACAAAUUGUUUUCAAAAUAUUAGGUCAGAGUGUGCGAGAAAACUGCUAAGUUGAAGGGUUAAUUCCUGGCCGGCCACAUGAUUAAUUGCACCGGGCUCGUUACCAUGGUUGAAAAAAAAAAACAUCCAUUUUAAAGGAUUAGAAGACUCGUACAUUUAGACAGCAUCUGGGCCUUUAAAUUACGGUAAAUUCAUCGAAUUUUGGGGCGAAAAAAAAACAACAAACCGAUUCACCAAUUGUCGUCAAACUUGGCCAAAGCUUCGGAAUAUAAAAAUCAGCAACAGCAGCAGCAAGAUAAAACAUGACUUGUGGGCCCAAGUUGCCUAACGCUUCUGCCAUGGUACGAAGAAGAAAAAGAUAGUCUGACAAGGUGUUGAACUCCACUAGAAGAAGUGUUCCUAGGACUUGCACCUGAAAACAAGAUAGGUGAAUACAAGGCGUGAUGACACCUAAGGUCCUGAAAGAUGUUGGGCUAAAUCCUGCUAUUAUGUUUACAACAAAAAGGAAAAGAAGAAAAAUCUCCUGAGUUGAAUGCAAGUAAGCAAGGUGCAUCCAUGUACUGGUAAUACUUAGUAGUACUUCAUGCAUAUAGAAGGCCACACCUACAAAAUGAGGCCAGCUUUAUAGACUAUACAGAACACUAUUGGUAGUGUUAGUGACAGUUUAUAAACCAUUUUCAUUGAUUUACUGGUAAAUUUAGAAAUAAUAAUGUUCAUCAUCAUUAAAUAUCAAGAUCAUUAUUGCGCAAGCAUACUAAAUUACAAUUGAUUUGCACAAUUGUUAUCUGAGACACAUUGCUCAAUAAUUAUCAUAUGAUCAGCGAAUGUAUAAUCAGCAAGUACAUUUACAAAGGAACACUGCAAAGGAAUUUUACAUUUGUAAAGAGGUGGUAAAAAGAGUUUGAUACAAGAUUUGCACUAAGUCACUCACCCAUAUGUUGAAUCUAGAUUUUUUUACAGGGUAAGAUCAAAACACAUGCUAGAAUUCAGAAGGUGUGAUAGCUGUAUCAUGGUUGAGCUAACUUGGCUGUUUUGAAAUUUUUGGGGAUCAAGGGGUGGGUUGCAGCUAUACCCUAUGUCUACAGAGAUUUGAAAUUUCUCCUCUUACAUGCUAAUAAAUUGAAACUUUUUGGCCAUUGCCAAUACUCAAUGCACUACAGCUACAGCACCCUCUACAACACCCUAAUCAACUCUUUAUCAGAGAAAUAUCUGACGCUCACUUACAAGUGACAAGAUGUUCCAAUUCGAUAUUGUUAGUCAGUAAGAUAAGAUACCGGAAUAUGAAGAGCAUAUGCAAAUCAAUCAAUAAGACUUUAAAAUGGUCUGAUGGUUUAUUCACAUGGCUAAAUAGUGUGUUCUAUACAAACACCGAAAAGUUUGCUCUAAUGACAACCUCUUCAACUAAUUAAUAAGUGCAAAAAUGCUUCAUCCGGAACACUGGGUAGAAGCACAUGGAAGACCUCAAAAUAUUGUAACAACUAAGUGUUUUUACACAACCAAAAGGCUUGGAUUUUUUACGGCUAAAAUCGUUUUUCCCCUUUCAUUAUAACAUUGGUAAUUGUCUUCAAACGAUAAUUGACAAAACAUGAAAAUAUCGAUAUCGAUACGACGGCCGUUCUAUAGUUAAGAACUGUCAAAAUGAUUAAAUUUUCAGAAAUUAAGAUUGCUAAAUACAAACAAAUCAAUUACCCUCCUGGAAGAAAUUAUGUUGAGCAGCAAAUCAAAUCAAUAAAGGCCUUCUGUGCUUGAUGACACACAUAUUUCGCGCCAAUAAAUUUCAAGUCAAACUUCCCAAAAUUUAAAGCUUAUA
rnacentral:lncRNA from 1 species